AGAACGAACGCUGGCGGCAUGCCUAACACAUGCAAGUCGAACGCUUUUGGGGCUUCGGUCCCAAAGGAGUGGCGCACGGGUGAGUAGCGCGUGGGAACCUGCCCUGUUGUGGGGGAUAACCGAGGGAAACUUCGGCUAAUACCGCAUACGCCCGGGGGAAACUCCGGGGAAAGAUUUAUCGCAGCAGGAGGGGCCCGCGUCGGAUUAGGUAGUUGGUGGGGUAACGGCCCACCAAGCCUGUGAUCCGUAGCUGGUCUGAGAGGAUGAUCAGCCACACUGGGACUGAGACACGGCCCAGACUCCUACGGGAGGCAGCAGUGGGGAAUAUUGGACAAUGGGCGCAAGCCUGAUCCAGCAAUGCCGCGUGAGUGAUGAAGGCCUUCGGGUUGUAAAGCUCUUUCGCACGCGACGAUGAUGACGGUAGCGUGAGAAGAAGCCCGGACUAACUUCGUGCCAGCAGCCGC
rnacentral:rRNA from 1 species